rnacentral:rRNA from 1 species
GUAGAGUAAAGUAUCGGAACGUACCUUUCAGUGGGGGAUAACGUAGCGAAAGUUACGCUAAUACCGCAUAUUCUGUGAGCAGGAAAGCAGGGGAUCGCAAGACCUUGCGCUGAUUGAGCGGCCGAUAUCAGAUUAGCUAGUUGGUGGGGUAAAGGCCUACCAAGGCGACGAUCUGUAGCGGGUCUGAGAGGAUGAUCCGCCACACUGGAACUGAGACACGGUCCAG